rnacentral:misc_RNA from 1 species
UUUCCGUAGGUGAACCUGCGGAAGGAUCAUUGAAGAAAAGAAAUAAUGUGGGAGGGGGGGAAGAAGCUGGGAGGAUUGGUUCAGAUUGGCUUAUGAUGGCUCUUGAAAACAGGGAGAAAAGGAGAGGGUUAUAGAUAAUAAACUUUUUCUCUCUCCCUUAGAGCCUUCAUGAUAAGAUUAUGAAUCGACUCUUUUAUGUAACUUUUCCUUCUUUCACAUAUAACUAACCCCACUUGUGUGAACCAAUUAGUUUCAUUUUAUAGAGGGUGAGGAAGAGGAGAAAGUAUGUUACUCUCUUUUUUUCCCAUUCUGUAUAAUUAUGGUCAACAAAACCCUUUAUUUUGUUUCUUUUUAUAGUGACAUGAAGGAGAGGAGGAAGGGGAGGUUGCUGUUUGUGGCCUUCCUGUGGAUCGCUCUGGUGUGUUACUAUAAAUAAUCUCAUCUAUAAUAUAAAUAGAAACAACUUUUAACAAUGGAUCUCUUGGCUCUC